UACGGAGGAUGCGAGCGUUAUCCGGAUUUAUUGGGUUUAAAGGGUGCGCAGGCGGGCUGUUAAGCCGGCGGUAAAAAUUCAGGGCUCAACCCUGUCGAGCCGUCGGAACUGGCAGUCUUGAGUGGGCGAGAAGUAUGCGGAAUGCGCGGUGUAGCGGUGAAAUGCAUAGAUAUCGCGCAGAACUCCGAUUGCGAAGGCAGCAUGCCGGCUCCACACUGACGCUGAGGCACGAAAGCGUGGGUAUCGAACAGG
rnacentral:rRNA from 1 species